rnacentral:rRNA from 1 species
GACAGAGGGUGCAAACGUUGUUCGGAAUUACUGGGCGUAAAGCGCGUGUAGGUGGCUAGGCAAGUCGGGUGUGAAAGCCCCGGGCUCAACCCGGGAAGUGCACUCGAAACUGCUUGGCUCGAGUGCCGGAGAGGGAAGCGGAAUUCUCGGUGUAGAGGUGAAAUUCGUAGAUAUCGAGAGGAACACCAGUGGCGAAGGCGGCUUCCUGGACGGCUACUGACGCUGAGACGCGAAAGCGUGGGGAGCAAACAGG